UAAAAUUCUUGAGAUGGGUGAGUGGCC
rnacentral:piRNA from 1 species